rnacentral:rRNA from 1 species
UACGGAAGGCAGCAGUGGGGAAUAUUGCACAAUGGGCGCAAGCCUGAUGCAGCCAUGCCGCGUGUAUGAAGAAGGCCUUCGGGUUGUAAAGUACUUUCAGUCGUGAGGAAGGUGUUAAGGUUAAUAACCUUAGCAAUUGACGUUAGCGGCAGAAGAAGCACCGGCUAACUCCGUGCCAGCAGCCGCGGUAAUACGGAGGGUGCGAGCGUUAAUCGGAAUUACUGGGCGUAAAAGGGCACGCAGGCGGUUAAUUAAGUUGGAUGUGAAAUCCCCGGGCUUAACCUGGGAAUGGCAUUCAAGACUGGUUAGCUAGAGUCUUGUAGAGGGGGUUAGAAUUCCAUGUGUAGCGGUGAAAUGCGUAGAGAUGUGGAGGAAUACCGGUGGCGAAGGCGGCCCCUGGACAAAGACUGACGCUCAUGUGCGAAAGCUGGGGAGCAAACAGGAUUAGAUACCCGGU